AAAACCUAGUUGCUGUUUUCCUUCACUCUCCUUUCUUCGGUUUCCUGUUGGCUUAACUUUCUGAAAUGGCACAACUGAAGUUCAGUAACUGCAUGGCUACAGAGUGAUGCUACAACUAAAUGGCCCCAGUGGCCAACUGCUGCUGAAAGGGGCUUGCUCCCUCCUCCACCCCUACCCACACAUCACAGCUGCUUUCCUUGAAUCUGCAGUAGCCCUUGUCUCGCUCCAUGGAGUGAGACAGUUCCAGCUGGAAAACUCUCUCUCCCCCAAAGGGGACAUUUUGACCAAUGCAGGUACACAGCAAUGUGAAAAGGGAGGGAAUGACAGAGGAGUAUCCUCAAAACAUCACCACACUCCACUCCUGGCUGCUGUUUCUGAUCCACCUCCUCAUUUAUUUUCCAUUUAAAUUGGGUGAAGAACAUAGCACCACACAGUCUAGAAAAUGCUCAUCUGAUUAUGCUAGAGGAAUUCCUACCUGAAUGAUCUCAGGAGCUACUUGCAAAGAAGGCAAAUACUCUUGCUGAAGAUACUGAAUGCACUCAGGACCCU